AUGAAACCCUGGCAGCUCGUGGCGGGCGUGGCGGAUGCCCUUCAGGAUACUAAAUCAGAGUGCAAUUCCUGUGUAGAAACUGAGGACAGAAAAAGUUCAAAUCAACAGAUGAGUUGUGAAAGAGAACAACAAAGGGAGCAUCCUCAUGCCCCGCACUGGAUUCAGGAAGAGCACCCCUUCUGCAGCACUCCAAAAAGCCAGUGGCAAAGGUUGGCACCAACUGCACUUUACAUGCCUGGAGGUGAGCGAUACCUGCCUUUACCAGGACUUCGUUGGUGGAGUGGAGAUCCUGGGCAGCCUAAUUAUAAGGCUGUUGUGGUUUAACCCGGCUGGCAGCUAAACACCACACAGCCGUUCGCUCACCCUCCCCCCUCCCUCUCUGGGAUGGGGGAGAGAAACGGGAAAGUGAAGCCUGUGAGUUGAGAUAAAGACAGUUUAUUAAGACAGGAAUAUAAUAAUAACA
rnacentral:lncRNA from 1 species